rnacentral:rRNA from 1 species
UACAGAGGCCUCGAGCGUUAGGCGGAAUCACUGGGCUUAAAGCGUGUGUAGGCGGACUUCUAAGUAUCUUGUGAAAUCCCACGGCUCACCCGUGGAACUGCUCGGUAUACUGGUCGUCUUGAGCCUUCUAGGGGCGAGUGGAACAAAUGGUGGAGCGGUGAAAUGCGUAGAUAUCAUUUGGAACGCCAAUGGUGAAAACAACUCGCUGGGGAAGUGCUGACGCUGAGACACGAAAGCCAGGGGAGCGAACGGG